GUGACAAGGGCUGGUGGCACUUGGUCUC
rnacentral:piRNA from 1 species